ensembl:lncRNA
AGCGGCAGGUGGACAGAGGGAGGAAGGACAGAGAGGAGGGGUCGCCCCCACAAGGGCCAGGCCGGGAGUCUGGAGGAGCCCCCUGCCGGGAAUGCAGCUGGGGAAAGAGGUUAUUAGGUGCAGUCCUGAGAACGGGGCAGGGAUGAGAGGCAGGGAAUUUGUUACUCGAAAACUGGGCUCGACUCGGUGGACGUUGCGCCAAGAGACACAGUCAAGCCAAACAGCGGGAGAAGGAAGCAUUUAUUACUUGCAGCAAUUCGCUCUGUUUUUCUUCACCCUUGCCUUCCAUUCUGGGAGGGAAGAUCCACCUCAACAGGGUGGGCUCCUCUCACGAGCCCACCUCCGGCGGCCCCCUCCCUCGGACCUUGCCAAGACACCGAGACGAGCUCCAGGACAGGACUCUCCACUUGCCUUCUGGACUGACAUCCACACACUGGCCCACAUUUCAUCCCUCAGUUGCAAGGGAAGCAGCUGGAGCAGAAGGCUUUGUUUGGGUUCCUGUCCCAGCCUCCCUCACUGAUCUAUCGAUCUAUUGCAAAUCAAAAAGCAGCGUCUUGGUUCCUUCUCCUCAGACCCGGAUAACUAUCUAGAAGAAUUCAAGUAUCUUACUCAGUCCUACAACUUAACCUGGCAUGAUAUUUACAUCAUCCUUUCCUCCACCUCCUCCCAGAAGAGAAGGAACAAGUAUGGCCAACCUCCCGGCUGCAAGCUGAUGAGAUACACAGGGCUGACGACACAAAGCCUGUAGGGGUCACGGCUGUCCCCUCCCAGAGAUGAUCCUGGGAUUAUCAGGCAGGGAGACCUGGGCCAGCAGCCUGUCAUCACGUGGUUGCUUGCCUCAUUGUAGGCCUUCAAAAGGCAGAACAUAAAGCUAUCAUCUUUGAUAAGCUUUGGCUAAUAAUUCAAGGGCUAGACGAAAACCCGGCACAAUUUCUAGCCAGGCUAACGGAAGCCCUACAAAAAUAUACAAGAUUUGAUCCCAUUUCAGCAGAGGGCACCAUUGUCCUUAUCACCCACUUUAUCUCCCAAUCGUCCCCAGACAUCUGAAAGAAACUAAAAAAGGCAGAAGGCCCUCAACCCCCUCAACAAGACCUUUUAAAUUUAGCCUUUAAGGUUUUCAAUAAUCGGGAAAAACAGGCAAAGCUAGAGAAGGCCCAACGAGAUCAGGCCAAAUACCACCUUUUAGCCACUGCCCUCCAUGGCUCCAAAUUUCCAUCAACCAACAAAGGCAGGAAGCCGUGUGGGCCCUGCUUCAAAUGCGGCAAAGAAGGCCACCGGGCCCACUCACGUCUAAAGCCAAGGCCCCCUCCAGGCCCGUGUCCCAGCUGUGGCACAAAGGGACAUUGGAAGGUUGGCUGCCCAAAUCCCCCUUAGGGAUCCGGACAUCCCCUCCUGGUCUCGAGCAGCAGUCCUCUGACCCAGCUCUGCCCAGCCUCCUUGGACCCGCCGUUGAGGAUUAGAGGUGCCCAGGGCUCCAGGCCCCGACUCUUGCCACCUCUAAGGAGCCCAGGGUAACUCUCACAGUGGCAGGGUCACGAUGUCUCAUCUCCUUGAUCUGAAUGUCACGAGGGAGCCUUGGGAUUGCUCAGACGUGAAAGGAAGCCUGUCAUUCUGCUGGGUUGGUCGGUGGUUUCUCCUCUCUGCUGCCUUCCUGCAAAGCGGAUCGCUGUCAAGAUUGAAAAAUGUAAACAUGUCUGACAAAGCCCCCUUUCACAGAGAGCUAUCCUUCUCUCCAACAGGUGCUUGCUGUUGCAGCCAAUGCUGUGAUGAGUAUCCCUGCCCCAUGUGGCCGGGCAGGGAGACGUUCCCAUGGGACCAUCCACGACGUCAACCUCCACUGCAAUCCCUCCCCUCCUGGGGUCUCCUGCAGACUCUCCUUGGAGUUCCUGGGCUGAGCAUUUGCCAGAAGCUAGAGUCAGAUGGGGACUAGGUUCAAAUACCAGUUGCUCCAUCAACAUCUCUCCCUGCGUCAGUGUUCUCAUCCCUACAAAGGAGACGAUAAUCAUGGUACCACUUCCGGAGUUGUCUUGAGUAUUACAUGCAAUAACGUGUUAUAGCCCCUGGAUCAGGGGAAGGACUCAGGAUGGCUCGCUGCCCUCUCCUUCCCCCUCUGAUAUCCCAUCUACCCUAUGGAGUCCCAAGCUUUGCAUGUGGGCCCUGGUCUAGUCGUCUGCACCCCGCAGCUUCCCCGGAUGUGGAUGUGGUGGUGCACAAUAAAUAAAUGGCCCCUGCAUGUGCCGUGAGGCGCAGUCCUCCAGCUUUGGCCUGACCCCCACUCCGCUAGGCCUGGGGGAUGGGGAGGAGUAGAGGUGCCUUUCUCUGGAUGGUCCACAGC